GAUGAAGAACGUAGCGAAAUGCGAUACGUAAUGUGAAUUGCAGAUUUCAGUGAAUCAUCGAAUCUUUGAACGCACAUUGCGCCCGCUAGUAUUCUGGCGGGCAUGCCUGUUCGAGCGUCAUUUCAACCAUCAAGCCCUAGGCUUGCGUUGGAGCCCUGCGGCUGCCGCAGGCUCCCAAAUCCAGUGGCGGGCUCGUCGUCGUACCGAGUGCAGUAAACAUCCUCGCUCAGGGAACGUGACGGGUUCUUGCCGUGAACCCCCCACAUAUCAAGGUUGACCUCGGAUCAGGUAGGAAUACCCGCUGAACUUAAGCAUAUCAAUAAGCGGAGGA
rnacentral:misc_RNA from 1 species